rnacentral:siRNA from 1 species
UGCCUAAACUUUGAAUGUGCCU